rnacentral:rRNA from 1 species
GAUGAACGCUAGCGACAGGCCUAACACAUGCAAGUCGAGGGGCAGCACGAAUCAAGCUUGCUUGAUUUGGUGGCGACCGGCGCACGGGUGCGUAACAGGUGUGCAAUCUGUCCAUAAUCGGGGAAUAGCCCAGCGAAAGUUGGAUUAAUGCUCCAUGUGAGUUUUAGAGGCAUCUCUUUAACUUGAAACGUAAGGAUUAUGGGUGAGCACGCUUCUGAUUAGGUAGUUGGUGAGGUAACGGCUCACCAAGCCGACGAUCAGUAGGGGUUCUGAGAGGAAGGUCCCCCACAUUGGAACUGAGACACGGUCCAAACUCCUACGGGAGGCAGCAGUGAGGAAUAUUGGUCAAUGGGCGAAAGCCUGAACCAGCCAAGUCGCGUGAAGGAUGAAGGUUCUAUGGAUUGUAAACUUCUUUCGUCUGAGGGUAAAAAAGCGGACGUGUCCGUUCUUGCAAGUAUCAGACGAAUAAGCAUCGGCUAACUCCGUGCCAGCAGCCGCCGUAACAC